GGGGAGUCGGGCUGUAGCGCAGCGGGUUAAGCGCAGGUGGCACAAAGCACAAGGACCGGCAUAAGGAUCCCGGAUCCCGGUUCGAACCCCGGCUCCCCACCUGCAGGGGAGUCGCUUCACAGGCGGUGAAGCAGGUCUGCAGGUGUCUGUCUUUCUCUCCUCCUCUCUGUCUUCGUCUCCUCUCUCCAUUUCUCUCUGUCGUAUCCAACAACGACAACAACAAUAAUAACUACAACAAUAAAACAACAAAAGGGAAUAAAUAAAUGAAAUAAAUAUAAAAAAA